rnacentral:lncRNA from 1 species
AUAUCCACACUAUCCAAUAUGGUAACCACUAGCCACUUGUGACUACUGAGUGUCUGAAAGGUUCUGCUUGAAUUCUUGCCCUGGCUCUUGGUGAAGGAUCGGCCUGCUGGAUCUGAGUCAUCCACCUAUAAGAGGGACAACACCACACAUUGGUCGCUGCUCUCAAGCCCCUGGAAUACCACCCCACUUGGCUUCUCCUGAUACCACCCACAUAAACAAAAACUUUUUGGGAGUCCUCCAGAAUUUUUAAGAGUUAUCUAAACUAUUGCCUUUAAUGACCAGGAACUCCAAUUUGAGAAGUUACCCUACGUUAAGCCAACAGCAGCCUGGCUCCUUCAUCCUGUGCAGUAUGGGACAGAGCUGGGUCCUUGUUGUCAUCAGCCAGACAAGCACACAUUAAAGCCCACCUUAGCCAUUGGCAUUACAGCUUUAAAAGCAGCUCCAUCCUACCAUGCUGUCACUCUACUCAAUCACGUGAUCUUAACGACCAGCUCUACAUAUCCUCUCUCCAUGCCCCCACCACCAUCCCCCACCAACAAAUCCGGUAAUCUAUCUCUGUCAAUAGUCCUGCAGUGAAUUCCGAAUAAGUUUUUCUCUUCCCUGGCCUGCCGUUUACGUAGUACCCUGGAUGAAUCUAUACUUACUCCAUAGUAAGUAGUACCUUGGAUGAAUCUAUACUUGCAUCCAAUGGAAAUGAGAGUGAUGGUGCAGAGUUAUCCGAAGUAACUCCAGCUAUGUUGUGGAUCUUCUAAUCAUGGGCUCAUCUAAGCCUUCCCAGAUAUCACUCUAGUUUUUACAAUCUUUGUUUAUGACAAUUAGGGCUGUAACAUUGGCUGUAGACAUUUGUUGCAUCAAGGAACUCAGCUUCCACUGAAGUUCUGAAGUUAAUCAGUUUCUGAUCUUGUUCUGCAACUCUCUGCAAGAAGAAAAAUCACCAGGAAAUAGUGCAUCCUGAAAGGAGUCAAAGUUUCCUUAUCCAGCUGGAGCAGUGUGAUCUCGGACCAGAGUCAAUUCCUUGCCCAACAGACUUCACAUUGAGCCAUGAGAAGCAGCCUACUUACCCUUACCUGGACACUUCUCCAAAACCUGUGAAAUGGCCUCUGUCACUGCCUCAAAGCCUCAUCCUUGAUUCUGCUAUCAGCUACAGGUCUGGGUUUGUGUCUCCGACAAAGAACCACCUCAAAGCCCCACAGAAAAGGACUGUACCGUAUACUUCAAACUAUUGACACCUCAAAGAACAGAGCUUGGGUUCAGGCUUCUGAUGCAUUCUGAGACACUCUCAGACCAUACCAGUGGGCUGGGUCAGGAUUUACAGAACUAUUUUCAUUUCAAGAGCAUACGGGCUCAUGAGAUUGCUAACUCAAGAUCCGGUGGAACAGAAAUACUUAUAUCGGACUGAAUAAACUGAUGAGGAAAAUCUUAUUGCA